CAUUUUCGUUUUCUUUUUUUUUUUCUCGCCCGGUUCACUUGACUCGACGAUCCCCCUUGGCGUUUGAGGCGCGCCGGAAAUCGCCUCAAACGCCUUUGGCAUUUGGGCGCGGUGUCGGGCUCGGAACGAGCUUUCCGAAACGUACUCACGGGCCCCGUGAGUCCAUCGGGAUCGAAAGUUAGGCACGUGAACGCGGAGACGCGCGGAUUACGUUUACUGAGAAAUUGUCCAUUUCGUGUUUCGUCGCAUGUAAGUAGCGUUACGUUAACCGCGCGACGGGUCCUUGAGAGCGGGAAGUUGAACACUCCGGACGUUUCUCGAGAGGAGAAAGCGAUUCGCUUCAAGUAAAUAUG
rnacentral:misc_RNA from 1 species